UUGCCCUAGUAACGGCGAGUGAAGCGGCAACAGCUCAAAUUUGAAAUCUGGCUCCGCUCUGGGGUCCGAGUUGUACUUUGCAGAGGGCGCUUUGGCGUCGGCAGCAGUCUAAGUUCCUUGGAACAGGACGUCACAGAGGGUGAGAAUCCCGUACGUGGCUGCGUGCCUUCGCCGUGUAAAGCCCCUUCGACGAGUCGUGUUGUUUGGGAAUGCAGCACUAAAUGGGAGGUAAAUUUCUUCUAAAGCUAAAUACUGGCCAGAGACCGAUAGCGCACAAGUAGAGUGAUCGAAAGAUGAAAAGCACUUUGGAAAGAGAGUCAAAUAGCACGUGAAAUUGUUGAAAGGGAAGCGCUUGCAGCCAGACUUGCCUGCGGUUGCUCAUCCGGGCUCUUGCCCGGUGCACUCUUCCGCAGGCAGGCCAGCAUCAGUUUGGGCGACUGGAGAAAGGCCUCUGUCAUGUAUCUUCCUUCGGGAUGACCUUAUAGGGGAGGCGUAAUGCAGCCAGUCCGAACUGAGGUCCGCGCAUCUGCUAGGAUGCUGGCGUAAUGGCUGUAAGCGGCCCGUCUUGAAACACGGACCAAGGAGUCUAACAUCUAUGCGAGUGUUUGGGUGUCAAGCCCGAGCGCGCAAUGAAAGUGAACGGAGGUGGGAACCCUCGGGUGCACCAUCGACCGAUCCUGAUGUCUUCGGAUGGAUUUGAGUAAGAGCAUAGCUGUUGGGACCCGAAAGAUGGUGAACUAUGCUUGAAUAGGGUGAAGCCAGAGGAAACUCUGGUGGAGGCUCGCAGCGGUUCUGACGUGCAAAUCGAUCGUCAAAUUUGGGCAUA
rnacentral:rRNA from 1 species